GGAUAUGAGGGCGAUCUGGCUGCAACAUCUGUCACCCAACUGAUUGCCAGGGUUGACUCAGCUAAUGAGACUGACCGGUCAUUCGGUUGAGGGCAUAAGAGUAGCUGUGCCCCCCCUGUUAGAACCUCCAAACAAGCUCUCAAGGUCCAUUUGUAGGUGAAUGUAGGGUAGUUAAGCUUCCAAGACUCCAGACACAUCCAAAUGAGCUGCUAUAUGUGGCAGUCUGCCUU
rnacentral:snRNA from 1 species